UACAGAGGUCUCGAGCGUUUGUUCGGAUUCAUUGGGCGUAAAGGGCGCGUAGGCGGCGGGGUAAGUCUGGUGUGAAAUCUAGGAGCUCAACUCCUAAACUGCACUGGAUACUGCUCUGCUAGAGGACUGGAGAGGAGACUGGAAUUCACGGUGUAGCAGUGAAAUGCGUAGAUAUCGUGAGGAAGACCAGUGGCGAAGGCGGAUCUCUGGACAGCUCCUGACGCUGAGGCGCGAAAGCUAGGGGAGCAAACAGGG
rnacentral:rRNA from 1 species